UCGAACGGUGACGACCAGCUUGCUGGUCUGAUCAGUGUCGAACGGGUGAGUAACACGUGCAGCUUCUACCCUAGACUCUGGAAUAACCAUGGGAAACGAUGGCUAAUACCGGAUACGAGACGUGCACGCAUGUGUGGCGUCUGGAAAGAUUUAUCGGUCUGGGAUGGGCUCGCGGCCUAUCAGCUUGUUGGUGGGGUAGUGGCCUACCAAGGCGACGACGGGUAGCCGGCCUGAGAGGGCGACCGGCCACACUGGGACUGAGAUACGGCCCAGACUCCUACGGGAGGCAGCAGUGGGGAAUAUUGCACAAUGGGCGCAAGCCUGAUGCAGCGACGCCGCGUGAGGGAUGACGGCCUUCGGGUUGUAAACCUCUUUCAGCAGGGAAGAAGCGAAAGUGACGGUACCUGCAGAAGAAGCGCCGGCUAACUACGUGCCAGCAGCCGCGGUAAUACGUAGGGCGCAAGCGUUGUCCGGAAUUAUUGGGCGUAAAGAGCUCGUAGGCGGUUUGUCGCGUCUGCUGUGAAAACCUAAGGCUCAACCUUGGGCUUACAGUGGGUACGGGCAGACUAGAGUGCGGUAGGGGUGACUGGAUU
rnacentral:rRNA from 1 species